rnacentral:rRNA from 1 species
GACGAAGGGGGCUAGCGUUGUUCGGAAUUACUGGGCGUAAAGCGUGCGUAGACGGUUAUUUAAGUCGGAUGUGAAAGCCCCGGGCUCAACCUGGGAAUUGCAUUCGAGACUGAAUAGCUAGGGUACGGUAGAGGGAAGUGGAAUUUCCGGUGUAGCGGUGGAAUGCGUAGAUAUCGGAAGGAACAUCAGUGGCGAAAGCGACUUCCUGGACCAGUACCGACGUUCAGGCACGAAAGCGUGGGGAGCAAACAGG